rnacentral:antisense_RNA from 1 species
GUAUGUACCCCCAGAAGUACUUCCGCUCGGAGAAGAAGGAGACGGCAAGCAGGGUGUACAGGAAGGCCCAGAACCAGCCUGAUGUCAGGAUCAGAACAAAAGAGGAGGACUGCAUAUGUAUGGACCCACUCCAGAUGGCACGGGGACGGGGGGGAGUAGGAAAAGUGGCAUGAUGAGGGAAUGGAGGCACAGACUGAUUAGAAAACCAGCUCAAGGUCAUGUUGCUGAAAUACUUCUAAGGGGCCAGGCGUGGUGACUCACGCUUGUAAUUCCAAGCACUUUGGCAGGCUGAGGCAGGUGGAUCACCUGAAGCCAGGAGUUCAAGAGCAGCCUGGCCAACAUGGCAAAACCCUGUCUAUACUAAAAAUACAAAAAUUAGCCAGGCAUGGUGGCGGGAGCCUGUAAUCUCAGCUCCUAGGGAGGCUGAGCCAGGAGAAUCGCUUAAACCUGGAAGCUGGAGGUUGCAGUGAGCCAAGAUCACACCACCACACUCCAGCCUGGGUGACAGAGCAAGACUCCAUCUCAAAAAGAAAAAAAAAAAA